UACGAAGGUGGCAAGCGUUGUUCGGAUUUACUGGGCGUACAGGGAGCGUAGGCGGUUGGGUAAGCCCUCCGUGAAAUCUCCGGGCCCAACCCGGAAAGUGCGGAGGGGACUGCUCGGCUAGAGGCUGGGAGAGGAGCGCGGAAUUCCCGGUGUAGCGGUGAAAUGCGUAGAGAUCGGGAGGAAGGCCGGUGGCGAAGGCGGCGCUCUGGAACAUUUCUGACGCUGAGGCUCGAAAGCGUCGGGAGCAAUCAGG
rnacentral:rRNA from 1 species